rnacentral:rRNA from 1 species
GCUAAUACCGCAUAACGUCUACGGACCAAAGGGGGGAGUCAUUUAUGAACCUCCCGCCCAUUUGAUUAGCCCAAGUGAGAUUAGCUAGUUGGUGAGGUAAAGGCUCACCAAGGCGACGACCUCUAGCUGGUUUGAGAGGAUGAUCAGCCACACUGGGACUGAGACACGGCCCAG